GGAAGCGCGCGGCUGCGGCGCGGGAAGCAACCCAGAGCCCUCCUCCCGCCUGCUCUGUGUAGGAGACAGCCUGCGGAGCCCACUGCCGGCGCGCAGAGAGCCCAGCAGCUCUUGAGUCCAGGAAGCAAGGGUGGGAGGAGGGACGAGCCAGUGGCAAUGACCCAGACCCGGACGACCCCCAUUGCUGAGCCAGCGGAGCUGCUUGGAGGCAGAGGUUGCAGUGAGCUGAGAUUUUGCGACUACACUCCAACCUGGGCAACAGAGCGGGACUCCAUUCCAAAAAAAUAAGAAAAACAGAAAAAUAAUAAUUACAUCUGCAAAGACCUUAUUUCCAGCAGGCAAGAAGAAUCUGUUGGAUGAUUACAACAUUGCUGGAUUGAUAGCAGCCUCACCUGCCAGGCUCAAACUCCAGGGUCCACGAGGCUGGUGUCAGACCUAUUGGGAGACCCUCUGCGUUAGUGAGAAAAACGGCAAGAAAUGGGAGCACGCGGAAACCUCCAAGACUAGAGCCACCAGAUGCCACCGACAGCACGCAGCUGGACCAGCACGGGGGAGGGCCUUCGUGGGUCGAGAGCUCGCUCGGGAGAUAGUUGGUGCUUUUCUUUCAGGAGAAGAAUCCCUGGCGGAGUCUGACCGUUCUCUGGCGCACAGCCCCGGGGGUGGGCACAGCAGCCGCCCCUGCUGAAGGGACUGACGCCUCCGACGACCAGCAGCCAAGUUAAACGCACUGUUCCGUGAGCAGCUUUGUUGGAGACAGCGCGGUUCACAUUCUCUUCCAACGGAGCCGCUGACUGCGGAGCUGGGAGGGGACGUGACAGAACCCAGCCAUCCAACGUCCCCCCACCCCUCCCCAGCUGGGACCUCCGGCUGCUUCCGGGCUGCGCUGGGUGGCGUCAAGGAGCCGCCCCUCUGGGCCGCGUCCCUCCCUCACGCCCUGCACACUGGCCCUGUGUGGCCGGCGGGGCGCCUAAAAGGGCGGAAGGAUGCAGGGGCGGAGGGGGCUCGGGAUUGCACGCCUAGCUCAGACCCCCCAGCCAGGACCCCUCGCGCUGUUGGACACGCCAGCCUCCCGACCCUGCGGCUCCUACGGGAGGUGACAAGGACCCUGCCAACCUGGCCUGAAUGGCCCAGUUUGAUACAGAUCAGGUUUUCAAUGAAUGAGACCGCGGUGUGGUCUAGGCGGAGGGAUGAGAGGAGGGGAUUCUGCUGGGAUAAGUGGGGGCGGGGUAAGGAGGGGAUUCUUUUCCUGGGCUGAGGAGAACGCAGGGACAAAGUACACAGGGGUAGUUGAGUGAGCAGGUGAGGCCCUAGGCUGGUUCCCCACCUUCUCAGGAUCGGAGCCACUCACUUCCUGGUACUCUCUGCAGUCUCCUGGCGUUAAAUAACAUCCCUUUGCUGGAGACUCUGGAUUCACAUCCAUAAUCGCAGCCUCCCCUACUCAUCCCCUCACGCUUCCCAUGAACUAACCUUGAAGGACCCGACCAGAGCCCUGACCUCCGUCCCACACACCUGCUACAUGGAAGGUGUUCUCCACAUCAGUUCAAGGCAGUGUCACUCUUCAGGAUGUUCAGGCUCUAAACCUUGGACUCCUCCUCCAGAUUUCUCUCUCCUUCCUUCUCCUUGUCUCUCCCUUGCACUUACGGUUCACUUUUCCUUCGUAGCUUUGUAGCUCAUUCCCCCUUCCACUUUCCACACCACCUUCUGGUCUGUUAAUUAAAUAUUACCUGGUUUCCACUGACACCUUCCCUGGGUUCCCAAUUGAAAAUCACAACAUCAUCCUCCUCCUCUGCUUUUUUUCUCCAAAUUAUAUCCUCACCCAAUUAUGUGUUAUUCUCAUUAAUCUUGCUUAAUUAAUUAGCAGACAUUAUUAAUGCCUGUUUCCCCUAUCACCACCACUAGACUAUGAACUCCUAAGGACUCCUUCCUUCCACCACUGUUGUACUCGCUUCACCUAGAACUGCUUGGCACAUACAAUGUGCUCCAUAAAUAUUUGUUGAAUGAAAGACUAGACACAACUUAGGAUUCACUCCCCCAUGUGGCAUCCAUAAGCCCUGUAUGCAGGUAAAAUGUCAGUGGGUUGACUAAAUACUGGAAGUGGAAAAAACUUCACCUCUUUGGUUUGCAGUUGUCUAGGAUAUUUAGGCCAAUGGAAAAUCCAGUUUUCCUUAGAAUUAAGCCAGUGCCGCCAGACUUGCCAGUUUACCAUGCUUGUCUGACUGGUCCUCAGCAUGGGUCAUACGUGUCCAAUGAAUUCAAACAAAAUCUUGAGAAGACACGAACCUUGCCCUUCGGCUGGGCGCGGUGGCUCACGCCUGUAAUCCCAGCACUUUGGGAGGCCGAGGCAGGCGGAUCACGAGGUCAGGAGAUCGAGACCAUCCUGGCUAACAUGGUGAAACCCCGUCUCUACUAAAAAUACAAAAAAUUAGCCGAGCGUGGUGGCGGGCGCCUGUAGUCCCAGCUACUCAGGAGGCUGAGGCAGGAGAAUGGCGUGAACCCGGGAGGCGGAGCUUGCAGUGAGUGAGCCGAGAUCGCACCCCUGCACUCCAGCCUGGGCGACAGAGCGAGACUCCGUAAAAAAACAAAAAAAAAACCUUGCCCUUCAUUCCCCAUUUCUAUCAUAAUCUACACAGAGUUUUGAACAGGCAUUUUAAAAUCAACAAUAUAUUAUUUACAAUUUUGUUAGUAUACAUAACUCUAACUCACUGUUAAAAAUCACCUGUCUUUAUAUCCAUUAAAUGACACUUGCAUAUGCUCCAAUUUUUCACUAAUGAUUUCGAGAGCAUUCUGGGACACAGGUGUCUGGACCUUUCAUAAGUAAACAGAAUUCCUAGCGACGGAAUUGUGUAUGCAGUAUGGAAACACCUUAUAAUAUACUGUCCUGGAUAUUGUAAAGGUGAACCAACAUUCUGUUAAAUUUAGAGCAAGUUGCAGAAAACUAUAUGAUACUUAAUUCUGUGCUAUAUGUAUAAUGGUUUCUUAGGGUUUUUUAAAUUUUUUUUUUCUUAGAGACAGUGUCUCACUCUCUUGCCCAGUCUGGAGUACAGUGGCACAAUCACAGCUCACUGCAGCCUCGACCUCCUAGGCUCAAGUGAUACUCCCACCUCACCUCCCAAGUAGCUGGGACUACAGGCAUGUGCCACCAUGUCCAGCUAACUUUUUUUUUUAUAUAAGAGAGAGGGACCCCACUACGUUGCCCAGGUUAGUCUUGAACUCCUGGGCUCAAGCAAUCCUGCCUCAGCCUCCCAAAGUGCUGGCACUACAGGCAUCAGCCACUGCACCCUGUCUGCUGCCAUAUAUAAUGUACAUUUUAAGAACUCUAUAUAGAUUCAUUUAUGUAUAUGUUUAGAAAAAAAUUCUGGAAU
rnacentral:lncRNA from 10 species